CUCAGAUGCUCAGUGGCAUAGUUAUACGCACACUGAUCCGAAGAACAAGUGAGCCAGAAUAUUAAAAUUGUUGGGCUGACAGGUUUUAAUAUUUUAAGAUAUCAUUCACCCUACUCUAUGAAAACAAAUCUAUCUAUGUUACAGUGACUAGUUCAGUGCCCGUAGGAAGUAUGUAUUGCUAUAGAAAAUGGGAGAUUAAGUAGCUAUUUCAUGGAUGGCCAAAUGAGGUUGUGUUUGAAGGUGGGACGUCAGGGACAUUUAGGUUUGUUGUGAAAUGUGUAGAUUGAUAACUAUUGUGUUUUCAUAUAAUUUGUCUUUUAGCAAGGACACUGUAGGGAGAUGGACCCCAUUCCACUAAUGUGAAAGUACCACACCUCAUGGUCAGCGCAUAUAAAUUCUGAAAGAAGAAAGUGAACUACAUCUGAAAUGGGAUGAAACCUGGCAGCAUAAACAGACUAACUUGUAGCAUAGCCUAGUAAAUGAGCUGGGCAGGACAUAUUAUUUAGCCCUGUAAUAUAGGCUAGCAUACAUGAGAGAGAGAGAGACAGAGAGAGAGAGAGAGAGAGAGAGAGAGAGAGAGAGCAAUGGCAGUAAGGGUUUCCACAUCAAAAAAUUGUUUUGAAACUACCAAAAUAGUGUGAACGGUCAGACAGUCUGAUAACUGCACAGGUCUCUCACUCAACUUAAUAAAGAGAAAUGUCCCACAAAGCAACGUUACAGGACCAAACAACAGUCACAUAGUAACUGUAACUGUCUUUGGCAACUUACAUGAGGAAAAAAAAUACCACAGCUGUACGUGGAGAAGCGUCUGUCCUCCUGUCUGUCCUCCCACCUGUUCUACCGACUCUUCCGUUACAUUUCUGCCCGAAAAACAGCGUCUGUCACCUGCGAAAAACUGUAUAGUAGAGUGUAUGCGAUCAAAAAUCACUGCGACCGCCAGCCCUCCGGACCGAGACAUCAGUUUACUUUCCACCGAAAAACAUUCUCCGUCUUGCGAGUGAGGGAGUCAGACAGCGUCCAGUUUACUGCUGGUGAUUAUGUAGAAUUAUGUCAUUUAGAGUGAAAAACGUAACUUCGUCACUUUCCAGGAUGUUUGGUGGGUCAGGAUCUCAAUCACUACACAUUAGGGCUCUGCAGUGAUUGGCUCUGGUGUGCACGUGACUAUGGUGGCUAUGGUAAUGCUAGCAGAAUUCUAAAUAAUUUAUGAAAUAAUUUAUUAACUGUAUCUUUGUAGUCCAAACAAAGCCGACGUUGCACACCCUUAAACCACACAGCAGCCAUGUUGAAACUCUCAGGUCAGUCUGAUCCUGAUCUGCAGAGAUAUUUGAGCCACACACACACACACACACACACACACACACACACACAGACAGACAGACAGACAGAGAUUCCUUGCUUUAUAGAUAGAUAGAUUAUCGUUUCAAAUAUGGAUAAAAAAUGUAGAAGUGAUAAAAAAGUUUAUUUUGCAUUUCUGUCUGCACACUGAAACAUGAUCACACAUUCAAUGAUAGAAAUUAG
rnacentral:lncRNA from 15 species